rnacentral:rRNA from 1 species
ACGAACGCUGGCGGCGUGCUUCACACAUGCCAGUCGAACGGAAAGGCCCUGCUUUUGUGGGGUGCUCGAGUGGCGAACGGGUGAGUAACACGUGAGUAACCUGCCCUUGACUUUGGGAUAACUUCAGGAAACUGGGGCUAAUACCGGAUAGGAGCUCCUGCUGCAUGGUGGGGGUUGGAAAGUUUCGGCGGUUGGGGAUGGACUCGCGGCUUAUCAGCUUGUUGGUGGGAUAGUGGCUUACCAAGGCUUUGACGGGUAGCCGGCCUGAGAGGGUGACCGGCCACAUUGGGACUGAGAUACGGCCCAGACUCCUACGGGAGGCAGCAGUGGGGAAUAUUGCACAAUGGGCGGAAGCCUGAUGCAGCAACGCCGCGUGCGGGAUGACGGCCUUCGGGUUGUAAACCGCUUCCGCCUGUGACGAAGCGUGAGUGACGGUAAUGGGUAAAGAAGCACCGGCUAACUACGUG